UACGGGGGGGGCAAGCGUUGUUCGGAAUUACUGGGCGUAAAGGGCGCGUAGGCGGGUGUGCGAGUCUCUCGUGAAAGCCCACGGCUCAACCGUGGAAUUGCGGGAGAUACUGCACGUCUUGAGUCCGGGAGAGGAGGGUGGAAUCCCCAGUGUAGCGGUGAAAUGCGUAGAUAUUGGGAGGAACACCGGUGGCGAAGGCGGCUCUCUGGACCGGUACUGACGCUGAGGCGCGAAAGCUAGGGGAGCAAACGGG
rnacentral:rRNA from 1 species